rnacentral:rRNA from 1 species
GUGGGGAAUAUUGGACAAUGGGGGGAACCCUGAUCCAGCCAUGCCGCGUGUGUGAAGAAGGCCUUUUGGUUGUAAAGCACUUUAAGCGAGGAGGAGGCUACCGAGAUUAAUACUCUUGGAUAGUGGACGUUACUCGCAGAAUAAGCACCGGCUAACUCUGUGCCAGCAGCCGCGGUAAUACAGAGGGUGCAAGCGUUAAUCGGAUUUACUGGGCGUAAAGCGCGCGUAGGUGGCCAAUUAAGUCAAAUGUGAAAUCCCCGUGCUUAACUUGGGAAUUGCAUUCGAUACUGGUUGGCUAGAGUAUGGGAGAGGAUGGUAGAAUUCCAGGUGUAGCGGUGAAAUGCGUAGAGAUCUGGAGGAAUACCGAUGGCGAAGGCAGCCAUCUGGCCUAAUACUGACACUGAGGUGCGAAAGCAUGGGGAGCAAACAGGAUUAGAUACCCGAGUAGUCC